UUACGGCCAUAUCACGUUGAAACAUCGGUUCUUGUACGAUCACCGAAGUUAAGCAACAUCGAGCCUGGUUAGUACUUGGAUGGGUGACCGCUUCAGAAUACCCGCUGCUGUAAG